rnacentral:rRNA from 1 species
UACGUAGGGUGCGAGCGUUGUCCGGAUUUAUUGGGCGUAAAGAGCUCGUAGGCGGUUUGUCGCGUCGGCCGUGAAAUCUCCACGCUUAACGUGGAGCGUGCGGUCGAUACGGGCAGACUUGAGUUCGGUAGGGGAGACUGGAAUUCCUGGUGUAGCGGUGAAAUGCGCAGAUAUCAGGAGGAACACCGGUGGCGAAGGCGGGUCUCUGGGCAAUUCCUGACGCUGAGGCGCGAAAGCGUGGGGAGCAAACGGG